GUAACAGAGGGUGCGAGCGUUAAUCGGAAUUAUCUGGGCGUAAAGCGCGCGUAGGCGGCUUUGCAAGUCGGGUGUGAAAUCCCCAGGCUUAACCUGGGAACUGCAUUCGAGACUGCAUUGCUAGAGUAUGGGAGAGGGAAGUGGAAUUUCCGGUGUAAGCGGUGAAAUGCGUAGAUAUCGGAAGGAACAUCAGUGGCGAAAGCGACUCCUGGACCAAUACUGACGCUCGAUGUGCGAAAGCGUGGGGAGCAAACAGG
rnacentral:rRNA from 1 species